rnacentral:tRNA from 1 species
GAGGCUGUAGCUCAGUGGUAGAGCUCUCAUAUAGCACAAGUGAGGCACUGGGUUCGAUCCUAAGCACUACA